GAUGAACGCUGGCGGCGUGCCUAAUACAUGCAAGUCGAGCGAACAGACGAGGAGCUUGCUCCUCUGACGUUAGCGGCGGACGGGUGAGUAACACGUGGAUAACCUACCUAUAAGACUGGGAUAACUUCGGGAAACCGGAGCUAAUACCGGAUAAUAUAUUGAACCGCAUGGUUCAAUAGUGAAAGACGGUUUUGCUGUCACUUAUAGAUGGAUCCGCGCCGCAUUAGCUAGUCGGUAAGGUAACGGCUUACCAAGGCAACGAUGCGUAGCCGACCUGAGAGGGUGAUCGGCCACACUGGAACUGAGACACGGUCCAGACUCCUACGGGAGGCAGCAGUAGGGAAUCUUCCGCAAUGGGCGAAAGCCUGACGGAGCAACGCCGCGUGAGUGAUGAAGGUCUUCGGAUCGUAAAACUCUGUUAUUAGGGAAGAACAAAUGUGUAAGUAACUAUGCACGUCUUGACGGUACCUAAUCAGAAAGCCAUGGCUAACUACGUG
rnacentral:rRNA from 1 species